GCUGAGGCAGGUGUAUUGCUUGAACCCAGGAGGCGGAGGUUGCAGUGAGCUGAGAUCGUGCCACUGCACUCCAGCCUGGCAACAGAGCGAGACUCCAUCUCAAAAAAAAAAAAAUCACUAAAAUGGAUGUGUACAUUAUGUACAGCAUGCUUUCAACAUUAAGGUAAAAAAAAAAUACCGAAAGAUUGGACUUAAGAUGGGCCAGUUUUUCUAGGUUAAAGAUGCCUUCCAGAAAAAUGUUUGUUCAGCCAUGCUUUUAGCAAUCACUUAUGUGUAGAGAACUUUUCCACAUCUCCUGUAUUUAUUCAAUCAACAGGAAUUAGCUUAGCAGCAUAACCCAAAGACUUAUCAUUUAUGUUGCCUUAUGACUGAUAGUGCUAAUAAGUAACUAAGUCCUAUGAUCCUAUUAAGAAUUUUACAACAAAGAGGGGCUUGAGUGACCUAAAUAAAAAUCAGUGCCAAAUAAUAAUUUUCGAAGUAUGCCACAUUCUCAAGAGGUGUCCAUCUAUGGGGUGAUACUUGGGUAGGGGGAAUAAAGUCCACUUCUGAAUUGUGGGUAACAAACACAAGUCCAAAAGUGCACAGGCAGGCAGCUUGUACUUACCUUAAUAGAUGCAUACUUUGGAAGUGAACAGCAUUGAAGCAUUAGGGCUUUCUAUACUCCAGUGGCAGGGUGGGCCUUACAAAACUGUAGGGCCUUCACCUAAGACAAAGAUAACACUUUUGUGUUUGCAGUAACUCAUGGACACUUUGGACUUAGUUUCUAAGGGGCUUAUCCCUUCUCCAUCCAGUGUUUCUGGACUUCUUCCUGGAGUAAGGACCUUGGGAAGAAGCCUUUGUUCCUGUCUGUAACCCCUAUUUAGUGCACUGAUUGGGGUGCUUAGCACAAUCACACAUAACAAAGGGAAAUAAUGCCACUAAAAAGAAAGAUUGUUCUGAUUCAAUAUUUGAGAAAAUUUCAUUCAAGAUAUUUUGAAGUCACAGAAGAGAAGUUGGACUUUGUAUAUUUAUCAAAACAAUUUGUCCUGGGCUCAGUGUCGGUAAUAUUAAUAUGUCCUUUUUUAUUUUUAUUUUUUAUUUUUAUUUUUGAGAUGGAGUUUCGCUGUUGUUGCCCAGGCUGGAGUGCAAUGGCGUGAUCUUGGCUCACCACAACCUCUGCCUCCUGGGUUCAAGCAAUUCUCCUGCCUCAGCCUCCCGAGUAGCUGGGAUUAC
rnacentral:lncRNA from 1 species